AGUGGCGAACGGGUGAGUAAUACAUCGGAACGUACCUUAUCGUGGGGGAUAACGCAGCGAAAGCUGUGCUAAUACCGCAUACGCCCUGAGGGGGAAAGCGGGGGAUCGAAAGACCUCGCGCGAUUAGAGCGGCCGAUGCCUGAUUAGCUUGUUGGUGGGGUAAAAGCCCACCAAGGCGACGAUCAGUAGCUGGUCUGAGAGGACGAUCAGCCACACUGGGACUGAGACACGGCCCAGACUCCUACGGGAGGCAGCAGUGGGGAAUUUUGGACAAUGGGGGAAACCCUGAUCCAGCAAUGCCGCGUGAGUGAAGAAGGCCUUCGGGUUGUAAAGCUCUUUUGUCAGGGAAGAAACACCGGCUCUAACACAGUCCGGGAAUGACGGUACCUGAAGAAUAAGCACCGGCUAACUACGUGCCAGCAGCCGCGGUAAUACGUAGGGUGCGAGCGUUAAUCGGAAUUACUGGGCGUAAAGCGUGCGCAGGCGGUUAUACAAGACAGGCGUGAAAUCCCCGGGCUUAACCUGGGAAUGGCGCCUGUGACUGUAUAGCUAGAGUGUGUCAGAGGGGGGUAGAAUUCCACGUGUAGCAGUGAAAUGCGUAGAUAUGUGGAGGAAUACCAAUGGCGAAGGCAGCCCCCUGGGAUAACACUGACGCUCAUGCACCAAAGCGUGGGGAGCAAACAGGAUUAGAUACCCUGCU
rnacentral:rRNA from 1 species